rnacentral:lncRNA from 1 species
GUCCCUAGGCAUCCAAACCAGCAACCCACAUGCCACAAAGGAACCCCCCAUGCCCUCUCUUCUCCUCCCCUUCUCUUCUCCCUUGGGCAUCCCACACUUUCCUCCCUUGGGCAUCCCACCUCUUCAUGCCCACAAGGGCCUUGGGCAUCCACCUCCUUUGCUGGUUUCUAGUCCCUAGUAGUAGCAUAAAUCAAGGAGGAAAAGACAAGAGAAGAAGAGAAGAAGAAGAUCAAGGAUAG